rnacentral:rRNA from 1 species
UACGGGGGGGGCAAGCGUUGUUCGGAAUUUCUGGGCGUAAAGGGCUCGUAGGCGGCCAACUCAGUCAGACGUGAAAUCCCUCGGCUUAACCGGGGAACUGCGUCUGAUACUGGAUGGCUUGAGUUUGGGAGAGGGAUGCGGAAUUCCAGGUGUAGCGGUGAAAUGCGUAGAUAUCUGGAGGAACACCGGUGGCGAAGGCGGCAUCCUGGACCAACACUGACGCUGAGUGAGCGAAAGCCAGGGGAGCAAACGGG